ACGUCCCUGCCCUUUGUACACACCGCCCGUCGCUACUACCGAUUGAAUGGCUUAGUGAGACUCUCGGAUUAGGUCCAAGGAAUCAGAAAUGGUCCCUUUUUCUUGAGAAGUUUGUCAAACUUGGUCAUUUAGAGGAAGUAAAAGUCGUAACAAGGUUUCCGUAGGUGAACCUGCGGAAGGAUCAUUAGAAUAUCGGGAAUUUAUUUUCCUAAUACUUUAUUCAAAAAAUUUUCAAUCUACAAAUUUUUUUUUAAAAAAAAUGAAAAAUAUAAAUUAAGAUAACUUUCAACAACGGAUCUCUAGGCUCUUGCAUCGAUGAAGAACGCAGCGAAAUGCGAUAAGUAAUGUGAAUUGCAGAAUUCCGUGAAUCAUUAAAUCUUUGAACGCAAAUUGCACUUCUUGGUAUUCCGAGGAGUAUGCUUGCUUGAGGGUUGGUCUACAAAAAAAAUCGUGAAAUUUCUUGUUUCGCGGAUCUGGGUUUUCCAAAGACUUUUUGGUAACCUUAAAUUUAUCUUAACAAUUUUAGGUAUUAAAUUAGAAAUGUUUUAUCUUGCAUAUCGUAAGUUGUUCAUUGAUAAUUAUACCAAUUGUUACAUCGCGUUAUCCUCCUAUCCUUUGGUUAGGUGAAAUAAUUCAAUAUUUUCUUAAUCCGACCUCAAGUCAAGUAAGAAUACCCGCUGAACUUAAGCAUAUCAAUAAGCGGAGGAAAAGAAACUAACUAGGAUUCCCUUAGUAACGGCGAGUGAACUGGGAAGAGCUCAAAUUUUAAAUCACUUUGGUGAAUUGUAAUUUGAAGAAAGUGUUUUGACUUUUCAGUUUAAUCUAAAUCCUUUGGGAUGAGGUAUCAUAGAGGGUGAGAAUCCCGUUCGUGAUUAAACCUCGGAUUGCACUAAUUCACUUUCUAAGAGUCGAGUUGUUUGGGAUUGCAGCUCUAAAUAGGUGGUAAAUUUCACCUAAGGCUAAAUAUAUGCAAGAGACCGAUAGCGAACAAGUACCGUGAGGGAAAGAUGAAAAGAACUUUGAAAAGAGAGUUAAACAGUACGUGAAAUUGUUGAAAGGGAAACGAUUGAAGUCAGUCAUGCUAGUAAGGAAUCAACUUGGCGGUGUGAGUUUGGGUUUGUAAAGUAGGGCAACCACUUGCAUAUCUUUUUCUCGCCCUUUCUUGUGUACUUUCUUUCUUGGCAGGUUAGCAUCAAUUUUAGUUGUCAUCAAAGAAUUGGGGAAAUGUGGCUUCUCUUCGGGGAAGUGUUUAUAGACCCUGAUAGAUGUGGCGACUGGGAUUGAGGAUUGCAGCGGAUGCCUUUGGCUAGUCACCUGUCUUCUGACGGUCACCUCGCUCCUGACAGCUUGCUGAUGAUUGUGGGAUUUGGCAGUUUAGAAGUUAGAGUGAACAUAAAUUCGCUAAGGAUGCUGACGUAAUGGCUUUAAACGACCCGUCUUGAAACACGG
rnacentral:rRNA from 1 species